UGGGGAAUUUUGCGCAAUGGGCGAAAGCCUGACGCAGCAACGCCGCGUGAGGGAUGAAGGCUUUUGGGUCGUAAACCUCUGUCAGAAGGGAAGAAAUACUCGCAAGAGAGCUGACGGUACCUUCAAAGGAAGCACCGGCUAACUCCGUGCCAGCAGCCGCGGUAAUACGGAGGGUGCAAGCGUUGUUCGGAAUUAUUGGGCGUAAAGCGCAUGUAGGCGGACUUUUAAGUCUGAUGUGAAAUCCCGGGGCUCAACCCCGGAACUGCAUUGGAUACUGGAAGUCUUGAGUACGGGAGAGGAAAGCGGAAUUCCGAGUGUAGGGGUGAAAUCCGUAGAUAUUCGGAAGAACACCAGUGGCGAAGGCGGCUUUCUGGACCGAUACUGACGCUGAGAUGCGAAAGCGUGGGGAGCGAACAGGAUUAGAUACCCCCGUAGUCC
rnacentral:rRNA from 1 species